GGGCCGUGGAGGGUUUCAACACCUGGCAAACUUUUAUAACUCAUCAGAAUGUUCCUUGUAUUGUUGGGCAAGAUUGAGCUUGUGAAUUGUGAUAUUAUUUCAACAACACUUAAAACUGACUGUAGCAACAACUGGUGCAAAAAUUGGUUAGUUUUAUGUUAUAUGCUAGGAGUGCGAAUAAUGUGACCAACUAAUGUAUUAUUUGAGCCAUGUGAAAGGGAUCAUUCGGUUUAGGUUACUUUGUCC
rnacentral:misc_RNA from 1 species